rnacentral:rRNA from 1 species
CUGGCUCAGGAUGAACGCUGGCGGCGCGCUUAACACAUGCAAGUCGAACGGUUAAAGCACCUUCGGGUGUGGAUAAAGUGGCGAACGGCUGAGUAACACGUGGGCAACCUGCCCCCCGCACCGGGAUAGCCUCGGGAAACCGCGGGUAAUACCGGAUACUCCGCGAGCACCGCAUGGCGCUCGCGGGAAAGCACAUACGGCGGGGGAUGGGCCCGCGGCCUGUUAGCUCGUUGGCGGGGUAACGGCCCACCAAGGCGAUUAUGGGUAGCCGGGUUGAGAGACCGACCGGCCAGAUUGGGACUGAGACACGGCCCAGACUCCUACGGGAGGCAGCAGUGGGGAAUCUUGCACAAUGGGCGAAAGCCUGAUGCAGCCGACGCCGCGUGCGGGAAGAAGGCCCUCGGGUUGUAAACCGCUUUCAGCAGGGACGAGGCGCAAGUGACGGUACCUGCAGAAGAAGCCCCGGCUAACUACGUGCCAGCAGCUGC